UUUGAAUGUUUUCAACAUGGCCUACAUUGUGAGAAAACAAAAAAAUAAUUAAAAUGAAAACAAAAAAAAGAAAGAAUCAAACAAUAACAAAUUUAAAAAAAAAAGAAAAAACAUUGAUUGAAUGUUUACAUCAAAAUAGUUUUCUAUUUACAUUCAAAAUAGUUAUAGUUUCCUACCUAACGUGAACAUCUUGAAGGGGUCGUUGAAUUGCAAAACAUGUGCUCUAACAAAUGUAACGUCUCCACAGACAGAACAUUCCAAUUAUCUGAUACUCAAUACAAAAUAUCGUGUAUCAAACAGAUAAGGGUAGAGUGGAAUUUUGUGGGUGAAUAUCUAUGGUGCAUUAUAAAAAAGAAGAAGAAUAUAUCAAUUAAUCAGAUACAGAACUGCUAUAAAAUUAUUAAAUAUAUUUUUUUAAUAUAUUUAUAUACACACGCUACUG
rnacentral:lncRNA from 1 species